AGUUAUUUAACUCAUUCCUUUCUUUCCUAGGUUGGUGCGUUUCUUUUGCAAGGCGUUUUCUCGGAGUCUCCCUCCCAACUUCCUCCUCCAAGGAAACUUUCCCCUGGAGUUCACUGCCAGGCGUUGGAGCUUUUAACUCCUGGGGAGACAAAGGGGAAUCCAUUGCAGCCCCGGGCAUUGAAAAG